GACGAACGCUGGCGGCGUGCUUAACACAUGCAAGUCGAACGGAAAGGCCCUGCUUUUGUGGGGUGCUCGAGUGGCGAACGGGUGAGUAACACGUGAGUAACCUGCCCUUGACUUUGGGAUAACUUCAGGAAACUGGGGCUAAUACCGGAUAUGAGCUCCUGCUGCAUGGUGGGGGUUGGAAAGUUUCGGCGGUUGGGGGUGGACUCGCGGCUUAUCAGCUUGUUGGUGGGGGAGUGGCUUACCAAGGCUUUGACGGGUAGCCGGCCUGAGGGGGUGACCGGCCACAUUGGGACUGAGAUACUGCCCAGACUACUACGGGAGGCAGCAGUGGGGAAUAUUGCACAAUGGGCGGAAGCCUGAUGCAGCAACGCCGCGUGCGGGAUGACGGCCUUCGGGUUGUAAACCGCUUUCGCCUGUGACGAAGCGUGAGUGAGGGUAAUGGGUAAAGAAGCACCGGCUAACUACGUG
rnacentral:rRNA from 1 species